rnacentral:rRNA from 1 species
GAUGAACGCGGCGGCGUGCUUAACACUGCAAGUCGAACGGUGAAGCCAGCUGCUGGUGGAUCAGUGGCGAACGGGUGAGUAACACGUGAGCACUGCCCUGGACUCUGGGAUAGCGCUGGAAACGGCGUCUAAUACGGGAUAUGAGCCUCUUCCGCAUGGUGGGGGUGGAAAAGAUUUUUUGGUCUGGGAUGGGCUCGCGGCCUAUCAGCUUGUUGGUGAGGUAAUGGCUCACCAAGGCGUCGACGGGUAGCCGGCCUGAGAGGGUGACCGGCCACACUGGGACUGAGACACGGCCCAGACUCCUACGGGAGGCAGCAGUGGGGAAUAUUGCACAAUGGGCGGAAGCCUGAUGCAGCAACGCCGCGUGAGGGAUGACGGCCUUCGGGUUGUAAACCUCUUUUAGCAGGGAAGAAGCGAAAGUGACGGUACCUGCAGAAAAAGCGCCGGCUAACUACGUGCCAGCAGCCGCGGUAAUACGUAGGGCGCAAGCGUUAUCCGGAAUUAUUGGGCGUAAAGAGCUCGUAGGCGGUUUGUCGCGUCUGCUGUGAAAUCCCGAGGCUCAACCUCGGGCCUGCAGUGGGUACGGGCAGACUAGAGUGCGGUAGGGGAGAUUGGAAUUCCUGGUGUAGCGGUGGAAUGCGCAGAUAUCAGGAGGAACACCGAUGGCGAAGGCAGAUCUCUGGGCCGUAACUGACGCUGAGGAGCGAAAGGGUGGGGAGCAAACAGGCUUAGAUACCCUGGUAGUCCACCCCGUAAACGUUGGGAACUAGUUGUGGGGACCAUUCCACGGUUUCCGUGACGCAGCUAACGCAUUAAGUUCCCCGCCUGGGGAGUACGGCCGCAAGGCUAAAACUCAAAGGAAUUGACGGGGACCCGCACAAGCGGCGGAGCAUGCGGAUUAAUUCGAUGCAACGCGAAGAACCUUACCAAGGCUUGACAUACACCAGAACGGGCCAGAAAUGGUCAACUCUUUGGACACUGGUGAACAGGU